AUGGUUUUGUUUCUGAAUAUAUUUGGGUUUGUUGGAUUUGCCGAAUGUUACCCAAAUGUCUCAAUUGCUUAUCACAUUAUCUUAACAGUGCAUGUGACUGUAGCAUCAUUUGAAUGAAGUUUUUCAAAAUUGAAGUUACUGAAAAAUUAUUUGAGGUUAACUGUGUCACAAGAAAGACUAAAUGGAUUGGCAAUAUAUUUACAUCCCUAA
rnacentral:rRNA from 1 species